rnacentral:rRNA from 1 species
UACGUAGGGUGCGAGCGUUAAUCGGAAUUACUGGGCGUAAAGCGUGCGCAGGCGGUUCGUUGUGUCGGCGGUGAAAGCCCCGGGCUUAACCUGGGAAUGGCCGUCGAAACUGGCGAACUGGAGUGUGGCAGAGGGGGGUGGAAUUCCGCGUGUAGCAGUGAAAUGUGUAGAUAUCGGAAGGAACACCAGUGGCGAAGGCGGCUACCUGGACUGACACUGACGCUGAGGCGCGAGAGCGUGGGGAGCAAACAGG